GGGGACAGAAAUAUGAGCAAAAUGACACAGCCUCCUCAGUCCCAAGAAGGGAGCAGAGGUGGGGUCCAGGGAGGAGAAGCCCCUGAACUCGGGGCUCUGAGCACGGGAUUCUGCAGCCAUGACAUCUGGGACCAGAGACAAGCUCUUGGUGACAGAAUUCACUGCCUGUAGCUCUUCUUGCUGGAGGAGGUGGUGGUGUAUUUGAUGGUAGAAGAGCUGAGGCCACCAGAAGAGCUGAGGCCACCUCCGAUGGCUCUGCCACUGCCAGCACUGAAGCCACCUCCAAGGCCAUGGCUGCUGCUAUAGGAGUAGCUGCUGCCUCCACCCAGGCCUAAGCUGCUGCUGGCACCCCCGGCACUGCCAUAGCCGCUGGACACGGUGGACUGCACCACAGCUGUGAAGGAGGAAAAGGACACCACAGACAUGGUCAGCCCACUGUGACCAGAUAAUUAAGCCACAAAGUAAGGAGAAGGGGAUUCGGACAAGCAGAGUACUUACAGAUGUUGACUGGUCCAACACCUUCACCAUUCAACCUACAAGAGGAAAGCAACAGGUCGUCCCCAUGUCUGCCAGCUGUGACCUGCAGCUCCUCAUACUGAAGGCCAAUCAAAGAGAGGACAUCUAUGUGAGUUGUUACAUGCGGAAGCAAACCCACCUCUGAGUGGCACACACUUCCAUGGAUGUGCUGGCUUUUCCUCAAGAGAAGCUUUAGGAGACCACAGACUCCAUAGUUCCCUCAGGAAGUGAAAAUGUUCUCUAGUUUCU
rnacentral:lncRNA from 1 species